UAAGUGGACUCACUGUCCAAAGAUGGAGUUAUCUUGCUAGUUCUCAUAGACCAAAUUUAUUCUCAAAGAGAAUAGAUGCAGCAACGGAAAUAUAGGCAGCAACAAGAUAUACAGCAACUAUAGUUGAGAUACACUUAAGCUCAACGAAUAGCAGCAAUACAACUUCAAAUGGAUAUAGCAUCAAGAAUUUCAAAUGCAGUAGCAGCUACGUGAGUUGGUAUUUUGCGGAAGAAGAGUAGUUAUUGACAUAUAAGGGUUGGCGUAAUAGUUACGGCGAGUUCGUUGUUGGAUCGUAUUAAAGGCUUGAGGUAUGUUAAGGCUAUUCCUUCUUUUCAUUGGCAUGAUUCCUACGAUUGAGCCACCUUUGACUAUUCGCACAAGGAUGUGCUAUUCACGAAGAUUGUACUUGGAUUAACAUGACCUUAAUGUAAUACUCCUCCCUAUUUAGGAACGAGUAUAAGAAUAGUCUAGCUAUAUAAGAUGAUAGAACGACAGAACAUAUAACUAGUGUAUAUGUUGCUUAUAGGCCAUUAUGUUGCUUUCGAGUUAUCAUUAUAUGUAUGUAUACGCCUGGCCUACGAGUCAUGGAGUUGUUGCCGGACCGACGGGUCACGGAGUUGCGCAUACCUGACCUACGGAUCAUGGAGUUGGUUAUACCUAGCCUAUGCAUCAUGGAGUUAUCUAUGCCUGGCCCUCGGGUCACGGAAUUAUAUCUAUAGAGUUAUAUUAUCUUGCUUCAGAUGAGAGGCAACCCAGGUUCUGAUAGACAGCCAGAUAGACCUUCUCAGUAGGCGAGAUGAGAGACCAGCUGACUGGUAAGCUCCAUUCUUUCUGGAGUUUCCAGGUCUACUCAGAGUCUUCUUUUGCUAUGUAUAUAUGUGAUGGGUAGGUCGGGGCCCUGUCCCGGCUAUGUUACAGUUGUGUACUCAGUAGAGACUUGUAGACGUAUCCUGUAUAGUAGUAGAGUCUUGGCCUUGCCGGCCCUUUAUGUACUCAUUUUGGUGUUGUCGGAAUGAUGACGACUUCGUCGGUCGGCAUAGUAGAUGUAUAUAUAUGUUUUGGCUUAUAUCUCAUGGAGUCUUGAUGACAAAGUGUUGUGGAUAGUUCUUGUGUGGCCUUGUCGGCCCUAUUGGUAUUUUCUGUUACAGGUAGACCUUGUCGGUCUAACUUGAGGGUUAUCCUUCUAGAGAUUCAAGCUCAGUAUGGUUCGCUCGGGCCGAGUAUGGCAUCGGGUGCCGGCCAUGCCCCUCCGACCUUGGG